UAAAAAAUUUGGCGGUAUUUUAGUUCCUUUAGAGGAACCUGUUUUGUAAUUGAUAGUCCACGUUUAAUUGUACUUUUCUUAAAAGUUUGUAUAUCGUCGUAGUUGAAUAUCUUAAAAGAGUUAAAUAUUCAAAAUUUAAAAUUUUAUAAAAAAGCAGAUCAAGGUGCAGUUUAUAGGAAAGAAUUUAAUGGGUUACAAUAAAUUUAUUUAAACGGAUAAAAUAAUUAAAAUUAUUUUUUAAGGUGGAUUUAAAAGUAAUAUCAAUUAUUUAAUUGAUAUGAUUAAGCUCUAAAAUAUGCACAUAUUGCCCGUCACUUUCAUUUAAAAUGAAAUAAGUCGUAACAAAGUAAGUGUACUGGAAAGUGUACUUAGGGGGAUCAAAUUAGAGCUUGAUUAAGCGUUUUAUUUACAUUAAAAAGUUAAUUGAUAGUAACAAUUUAAUUUGAAUUUAUUAAUUUAUUUAUUUUAAUUUAAAAAAAAUAUUUUUAAUGAUUUUUUAUAUUUUAAUGAUAAAUUUAUUUUUAUUAUAUAGUAAAGUAAAGUGAUUGAAUAUUUAAAUAUAGUUAAAUUUAAAAUUUUAAUAAGAAAAAUUUAGUUUUUGUACCUUGUGUAUCAGGGUUUAUUAAAUAAUAAUUAUUUAAUUAAUUUUCUCGAAUUAAAAAGAGCUAAAAAAUUAUAUAUUUUAUUGUAAAAAAAAUAUUUAAAAUUUUUUUUUAGUUAAUGAAAUGUUAUUCGUUUUUUAAUAUAUCUAGUUUUUUAAGAAAUAAAUUUAAUUUAUUUAAUUAUUUUAAUUAAAUUAAUUUUUUAAUUUUAUUAAAUAAUUAAAAAAUAUUUUAAGGGAUGAGCUUUAAAAUAAAUUUUUAUAAAUUAUUUAAAAUUUAAAAUUAUAUAGAAUUAAUAAUUUUUAUUUAUAGUUUGUUAUAAUUAAAUUUUAAGAUAAAGUUAAAUUUUUAUAAAUUUUAAUUUUUUUAUUAAAAUAAUUUAUUUAAUUUUAUAAUAUUUGAAAUAAUGAUAAAAUUAGUAUAAUUUUUUGUAAGAUUAAUUUUAAAUUUUAAGGUUAUUUUAAGGAACUCGGCAAAAAAAUUUUCUGCCUGUUUAAUAAAAACAUGUCUUUUUGAUUAUAAUUUAAAGUCUAAUCUGCCCAAUGAGUUAUUAAAUGGCUGCGGUAUUUUGACCGUACAAAGGUAGCAUAAUAAUUAGUUUUUUAAUUGAAAACUGGUAUGAAUGAUUGGACAAGAAAAGAUCUGUCUCAAUUUAAAUUUUAUUUGAAUUUUAUAUUUAAGUUAAAAAGCUUAAAUUUUUUUAAAAGACGAGAAGACCCUAUAGAGUUUUAUAUUAAUUAUAUUUAAUUUUAUUUAGAAUAAAUUAUUUUAUUUAAAAAUUAUUAUUUUAUUGGGGGGAUAGAAAAAUUUAAUUAACUUUUUUUUUUUAUUAACAUUAAUAUAUGAAUAUUUGAUCCAUAGAUUUAUGAUUAUAAGAUUAAAUUACCUUAGGGAUAACAGCGUAAUUUUUUUUGAGAGUUCUAAUUAAAAAAAAAGUUUGCGACCUCGAUGUUGGAUUAAAAUUAACUUUAGGUGCAGUAGC
rnacentral:rRNA from 1 species